rnacentral:rRNA from 1 species
UACGUAGGGUGCGAGCGUUGUCCGGAAUUAUUGGGCGUAAAGAGCUCGUAGGCGGACUGUCACGUCUGCUGUGAAAAGCUGGGGCUUAACCCUGGACUUGCAGUCGAUACGGGCAGACUAGAGGUAGGUAGGGGAGAAUGGAAUUCCCGGUGUAGCGGUGAAAUGCGCAGAUAUCGGGAGGAACACCGGUGGCGAAGGCGGUUCUCUGGGCCUUACCUGACGCUGAGGAGCGAAAGCGUGGGGAGCGAACAGG